UAUAUAAGGAGACGAAACUCGGUCAGCUGCACACCACACCAUCCUUGCAACAUUGCAGCAGCUACAGCCAUCGCUAAAGCCGAAAUGAAGUUCAUUGUGUUAUCGACGGCACUGGUUCUGGCCGGAGCAGAGUUUGUGAGAGUCCCGGAUUUCGAACCCGUUCAGGAUCUCUUCACUGCUAAGGUCGCGCCCGGACCAUCACUGUCGACGUCCCCUGGAUUCGACGCCAGUCUUCUGGAAAGUUCAGCCAUCAUGCCGGGCCUUCGGAACGGACUUCAGGCUGCAGUGGGCUCUGCCCAACUUGGUGUAGUAUCUAACGUCGCUCCUGAGCUUCGUCGUCUCACCUUUGACAUCGGCGCUUGUUACUACUGGUGCCGCACCAACGAAGGUCAGCCUUACUGCUGUGAGUCUGAUACCCAGAACCCUCAUGUGCCCAUCAUCAAGACUGGGAGAUGCCCGGCCACUUGCCCAGCCUUCGCUGCCACACCCUGUCGUCUUGACAGUGACUGCUCAGUCGGCGAUAAAUGUUGCAUCAAUCCUUGCAGCACCCAAGAGAGAGUCUGUCGUGCUCCAGCCCCUCUGUAACCAUUAGGCAUUAACCAAAGCUCAAUUCAGUCUUCAAUAUAUAUAUAUAUAUAUAUAUAUAUAUAUAUAUAUAUAUAUAUAUAUAUAAUCCAGAAAACCCCUGAACUUUGACGGUUUUCCAAAAAUUAUUUCUCUUGAUGAACUAGUCCAGUCAUUUUUCUUUCUACGUUCUGCCGCUUCAUUUCCAUUUUCUAUUUAACGCCAAAAUACUUUUUAAGACUUCCCGAGUGAAGUGACUCUCUGGGUGAAUGCUACAUAGAGAGACAUCAGACAGAAGUAGGCCUGCAGGCAGUGCUACUGACGAUGUCUGAAGAUGGUGUGUACAUAUUCGAUAAUAAACUCUCUGAAAUACCUUAAA